ensembl:lncRNA
GGGGAUGAUGCUGUAGUGUGUUGGGACAGGUACUGCUAUCACAGGGGAUGAUGCUGUAGUGUUUUGGGACAGGUACUGCUAUCACAGGGAUCGAUGCUGUAGUGUGUUGGGACAGGUACUGCUAUAACAGGGAUCGAUGAUGUAGUGUGUUGGGACAGGUACUGCUAUAACAGGGAUCGAUGAUGUAGUGUGUUGGGACAGGUACUGCUAUCACAGGGGAUGAUGCUGUAGUGUGUUGGGACAGGUACUGCUAUCACAGGGAUCGAUGCUGUAGUGUGUUGGGACAGGUACUGCUAUAACAGGGGAUGAUGAUGUAGUGUGUUGGGACAGGUACUGCUAUAACACAGGAGAUGAUGCUCUAGUGUGUUGGGACAGAUACUGAUAUAACAGGGGAUGAUGCUGUAGUGUGUUGGGACAGGUACUGCUAUACCAGGGAAUGAUGCUGUAGUGUGUUGGGACAGGUACUGCUAUACCAGGGAAUGACGCCCUUGUCCGCAGGCCUGGGCAACUCCAGUCCCCGGGGACCUGAUUGGUCCCAACAAACACAACUGAUUUAAACGAAUUACAUUCUAAACUGAAGAUCAGAUUCAGUUGAUUAUUGGAGUCAGGUGUGUUAGCUGGGGACAAAAUGUGACACCAAUCAGGACCGUAGUUUCCCAUGGCCUGCGUGUGUUAACCUCCAUGCCAGUAGAGGGCAGAGCUGAGUAGGUGUUACCUGAAUAAACACUGGGGACAAUGAAGCCAAGCUGUAAGUCAGAGUGACCUCGUCAUGUUCUACUGGUCAACAUCCAGAACAGUAGCAACAUACAGUAAACCAAGGCCUGCCACCAAAAUGAUGAAAUGUACUGAAAUGUACCUGAGGGUAACUUUAAACAUUUCACUGAAUGAUGAUACAGUGGGGCAAAAA